rnacentral:rRNA from 1 species
UACGUUGGGCGCAAGCGUUAUCCGGAAUUAUUGGGCGUAAAGAGCUCGUAGGCGGUUUGUCGCGUCUGCCGUGAAAGUCCGGGGCUCAACUCCGGAUCUGCGGUGGGUACGGGCAGACUAGAGUGAUGUAGGGGAGACUGGAAUUCCUGGUGUAGCGGUGAAAUGCGCAGAUAUCAGGAGGAACACCGAUGGCGAAGGCAGGUCUCUGGGCAUUAACUGACGCUGAGGAGCGAAAGCAUGGGGGAGCGAACAGG